rnacentral:rRNA from 1 species
GUGGGGAAUCUUGCGCAAUGGGCGAAAGCCUGACGCAGCCAUGCCGCGUGAAUGAUGAAGGUCUUAGGAUUGUAAAAUUCUUUCACCGGGGACGAUAAUGACGGUACCCGGAGAAGAAGCCCCGGCUAACUUCGUGCCAGCAGCCGCGGUAAUACGAAGGGGGCUAGCGUUGCUCGGAAUUACUGGGCGUAAAGGGCGCGUAGGCGGACAUUUAAGUCAGGGGUGAAAUCCCAGAGCUCAACUCUGGAACUGCCUUUGAUACUGGGUGUCUUGAGUGUGAGAGAGGUAUGUGGAACUCCGAGUGUAGAGGUGAAAUUCGUAGAUAUUCGGAAGAACACCAGUGGCGAAGGCGACAUACUGGCUCAUUACUGACGCUGAGGCGCGAAAGCGUGGGGAGCAAACAGGAUUAGAUACCCGUGUAGUCC